UCAGGUGAUCAACCUGCCUCAGCCUCCCAAAGUGCUGGGAUUACAGGCGUGAGCCACCGCACCUGGCCUAGGGGUACCUUUAAUAAAUCUUUUUGGGGGUGCAAUUCAGCCCUCAAGACCAGGUGAGAGAGUCCCUCCCAGUAUGAUUGCAAGCUCAAACCCAUGGAUCCAAAUCAGGAUACCACCUUAAAUUUAACAUAAUGCCCUUAAAAAUGAAAAAGUCCGCAAGCCAUGUUAUCAUCUGGAUUUCAACAAAGAAAAGUGACUCCAGCAUGCAGAGUGGGAUCAACUUGCUCUACCAACUCUGGAUCUUCUGUCAUCUGGAAAUGACGGGGAUCUUGUACUCACGGGCAAUGCCUGCCUACUAUUAUCUUUGGAAUCAGCAUGUGAGGCCCCCUACAGUGCCUCAUCCAUCUGACUCAUGCCGAAGAUGGUCCAGGCGUCACCUGAGCUAUGCUACCUUUGGUAAAGACCCAUGCAGGCUUCUCUUUGCCCUGGAGUCACACUUUCUCCCCUAUUGACACCCCAGCCAGGAUCACACCAAUACCUCCAACAUCAAUCAGAAGUCAACAAGAAUGGAAAACAGACUAAAGUAACUUCUAUGGACAGGGCUGGGUCUA
rnacentral:lncRNA from 1 species